rnacentral:rRNA from 1 species
AUCUACGGCCAUGCUACCCUGAACAAGCCCGAUCCCGUCUGAUCUCGGAAGCUAAGCAAGGUCAGGCCUGGUUAGUACAUGGAUGGGAGACCACCUAGGAAGACCAGGUGCUGUAGGCA